UUGAAAGGGAAACGAUUGAAGUCAGUCGUACCGACGGAGGAUCAACCUUUGAAAGCGGGUCGAGGUAUUCGAGGAGUUUAAAAGCCCUCUUGCGCUCACGUACUUCGUUUUCUUUGGUGCACUUCUUCGUAUGGUAGGUUAACAUCAAUUUUGGACGUUACAAAAUGAUCGGGGGAAUGUAGCUUCGAUUUUUUCGAAGCGUUAUAGACCUUGGUAGAUGUGACGACCGGGAUUGAGGAUUGCAACGAAUGCUUUCGGGCUAUCCGUCUGACCUCUGGUGGUUGCUUUAGGGUCGAAAGCGUGCUUACGACUUUAAAGUUGGCUAUCAAAAGGCUAGAACGUGAUUAAAUUCGUUAAGGAUGUUGACGUA
rnacentral:rRNA from 1 species